rnacentral:tRNA from 2 species
UUAUUUUGGCGAUAUGGCCGAGUGGUAAGGCGGGGGACUGCAAAUCCUUUUUCCCCAGUUCAAAUCCGGAAAAAAAAA